rnacentral:rRNA from 1 species
AUUGAACGCUGGCGGCAGGCUUAACACAUGCAAGUCGAGCGAGCGGCGGACGGGUGAGUAAUGUCUGGUAAACUGACUGCUGGAGGGGGAUAACUACUGGAAACUGUAGCUAAUACCGCAUACCAUCAUAUGUGCCCAUAUGGGAUUAGCUAGUCGGGGGGGUAAUGGCUCACUAAGGCGACGAUCCCUAGAUGGUCUGAGAGGAUGACCAGCCAACCUGGAACUGAGACACGGGCCGGACUCCUACGGGAGGCAGCGGUGGGGAAUAUUGCAAAAUGGGCGCAGGCCUGAUGCAGCCAUGCCGCGUGUGUGAAGAAGGCCUUCGGGUUGUAAAGCACGUUCAGCGGGGAGGCGUUACUCGCAGAAGAAGCACCGGCUAACUCCGUGCCAGCAGCCGCGGUAAUUC